ACGAACGUUGAUGGCGUGCCUCAUACAUGCAAGUCGAGCGGGUAGCAAUACCAGCGGCGGACGGGUGAGUAACACGUAAAGAAUCUGCCCUAAGGUGGGGAAUAACUAUCCCAACGGAUAGCUAAUACCGCAUAAGGAUGGAGGUGGCAUCACCUCUUCUCGAAAGAUUUAUCGCCUUAGGAUGACUUUGCGUCCCAUUAGCUUGUUGGCGGUGUAACGGACCACCAAGGCGACGAUGGGUAUCCGGCCUGAGAGGGUGUACGGACACAUUGGGACUGAGAUACGGCCCAGACUCCUACGGGAGGCAGCAGUAGGGAAUUUUGCGCAAUGGAGGAAACUCUGACGCAGCAACGCCAUGUGUGGGAUGAAGCAUUUCGGUGUGUAAACCACUGUCAGCAGGGAAUAAAUGGCCGCUUCGGCGGCAGUUGAAUGUACCUGCAAAGGAAGCCCCGGCUAACUUCGU
rnacentral:rRNA from 1 species